GACGAACGCUGGCGGCGUGCUUAACACAUGCAAGUCGAACGGAAAGGCCCUGCUUUUGUGGGGUGCUCGAGUGGCGUACGGGUGAGUAACACGUGAGUAACCUGCCCUUGACUUUGGGAUAACUUCAGGAAACUGGGGCUAAUACCGGAUAGGAGCUCCUGCUGCAUGGUGGGGGUUGGAAAGUUUCGGCGGUUGGGGAUGGACUCGCGGCUUAUCAGCUUGUUGGUGGGGUAGUGGCUUACCAAGGCUUUGACGGGUAGCCGGCCUGAGAGGGUGACCGGCCACAUUGGGACUGAGAUACGGCCCAGACUCCUACGGGAGGCAGCAGUGGGGAAUAUUGCACAAUGGGCGGAAGCCUGAUGCAGCAACGCCGCGUGCGGGAUGACGGCCUUCGGGUUGUAAACCGCUUUCGCCUGUGACGAAGCGUGAGUGACGGUAAUGGGUAAAGAAGCACCGGCUAACUACGUGCCAGCAGCCGCGGUGAUACGUAGGGUGCGAGCGUUGUCCGGAUUUAUUGGGCGUAAAGGGCUCGUAGGUGGUUGAUCGCGUCGGAAGUGUAAUCUUGGGGCUUAACCCUGAGCGUGCUUUCGAUACGGGUUGACUUGAGGAAGGUAGGGGAGAAUGGAAUUCCUGGUGGAGCGGUGGAAUGCGCAGAUAUCAGGAGGAACACCAGUGGCGAAGGCGGUUCUCUGGGCCUUUCCUGACGCUGAGGAGCGAAAGCGUGGGGAGCGAACAGGCUUAGAUACCCUGGUAGUCCACGCUGUAAACGGUGGGUACUAGGUGUGGGGUCCAUUCCACGGGUUCCGUGCCGUAGCUAACGCUUUAAGUACCCCGCCUGGGGAGUACGGCCGCAAGGCUAAAACUCAAAGGAAUUGACGGGGCCCCGCACAAGCGGCGGAGCAUGCGGAUUAAUUCGAUGCAACGCGUAGAACCUUACCUGGGUUUGACAUGGAUCGGGAGCGCUCAGAGAUGGGUGUGCCUCUUUUGGGGUCGGUUCACAGGUGGUGCAUGGCUGUCGUCAGCUCGUGUCGUGAGAUGUUGGGUUAAGUCCCGCAACGAGCGCAACCCUUGUUCACUGUUGCCAGCACGUUAUGGUGGGGACUCAGUGGAGACCGCCGGGGUCAACUCGGAGGAAGGUGGGGAUGACGUCAAGUCAUCAUGCCCCUUAUGUCCAGGGCUUCACGCAUGCUACAAUGGCUGGUACAGAGAGUGGCGAGCCUGUGAGGGUGAGCGAAUCUCGGAAAGCCGGUCUCAGUUCGGAUUGGGGUCUGCAACUCGACCUCAUGAAGUCGGAGUCGCUAGUAAUCGCAGAUCAGCAACGCUGCGGUGAAUACGUUCCCGGG
rnacentral:rRNA from 1 species